rnacentral:rRNA from 1 species
UACGUGAGGGUGCGAGCGUUUGUCCGGAAUUAUUGGGGCGUAAAGGGCUCGUAGGCGGUUUGUCGCGUCGGGAGUGAAAUCCACUGGCUUAACUGGUGGCUUGCUUUCGAUACGGGCAGACUGGAGGUAUGCAGGGGAGAACGGAAUUCCUGGUGUAGCGGUGAAAUGCGCAGAUAUCAGGAGGAACACCGGUGGCGAAGGCGGUUCUCUGGGCAUGUCCUGACGCUGAGGAGCGAAAGUGUGGGGAGCGAAACAGG